ensembl:ncRNA T24A11.7 ncRNA
CCCGGCUGGGGGGUGUCCCGCCCCAUGGGCUUUGACCUGUCUGUCGUCUCACCAUUGAAUCGGACUGUCUCAUACUUUAGGUUAUCUGUAUUCAUUGCUGCGUCUCUUUCAAUCAAACACUCUCUCGACAUUUGGGCGUUGAUUGAAAG